rnacentral:rRNA from 1 species
CCUACGGGAGGCAGCAGUGAGGAAUAUUGGUCAAUGGGCGCGAGCCUGAACCAGCCAAGUAGCGUGAAGGAUGAAGGCCCUACGGGUUGUAACCUUCUUUUAUAAAGGAAUAAAGUGAGGCACGUGUGCCUCUUUGCAUGUACUUUAUGAAUAAGGAUCGGGUAACUCCGUGCCAGCAGCCGCGGUAAUACGGAGGAUCCGAGCGUUAUCCGGAUUUAUUGGGUUUAAAGGGAGCGUAGGUUGGUUGUUAAGUCAGUUGUGAAAGUUUGCGGCUCAACCGUAAAAUUGCAAUUGAUACUGGCAGUCUUGAGUACAGUUGAGGUAGGCGGAAUUCGUGGUGUAGCGGUGAAAUGCUUAGAUAUCACGAAGAACUCCGAUUGCGAAGGCAGCUUACUAAACUGCCACUGACAUUGAUGCUCGAAAGUGUGGGUAUCAAACAGGAUUAGAUACCCGAGUAGUC